rnacentral:snoRNA from 14 species
CGGGUCUCUGGGCGGCGGCUGCAGCGUGUCAGUCGGACCGUACGCUGCAGCGGCGCCCGCACGGACCUAGACUACAACAGGACGAGGCCUCCGGUCCGUCCUGGCAGUUACAGGUGUGAGCGGUCAUCCAGCCGCCUGACGCUCAUGUAUGAUACUGCACACACGC